GAUGAACGCUGGCGGCGUGCUUAACACAUGCAAGUCGAACGGAAAGGCCCUGAUCUUGUGCGGUGCUCGAUUGCGGAACGGGGGAGUGACACGUGUGUAUCCUGCACUUGUCUUUGGGAUAACAUCACGAAACUGGGGCUAAUACCGGAUAGGAGAUCCUGAUGCAUGGUGGGCGUUGGAAAGUUUCGGCGGUUUGGGAUGGACUCGCGGCUUAUGAGCUUGUUGGUGGGGUAGUGGCUUACCAAGGCUUUGACGGGUAGCCGGCCUGAGAGGGUGACCGGGCACCAGAGGACUGCGAGACGGCGCAGUCGCGUACGGGCGGCAACAGGCGGGAGUAUGGCACAAUGGGCGGAAGUGUGAUGCGGCAGCGCUGCGUGCGGGAAGACGGCCUUUGGGUUGAGAACCGCUGUCGCCUGUGACGAAGCGUGCGUGACGGUAAUGAGUAAAGAAGCACCGGCUAACUACGUG
rnacentral:rRNA from 1 species